ensembl:misc_RNA
AUUACAGCCAAGUCUAUCUAAAAAUUUUAGAACAUUAAUUUUUCUCCUUUUUAAUAUUAUUUAAUGAGAACACUUAAAACUUUUUCCAUGAAGGGAAAGUAAUAUCCAC